rnacentral:ncRNA from 1 species
GUGCUAUACUGGUAAGGUUGAUAGUCUCAACCCUUGGUGCUUAGCUUCUUUCACCAAGCAUAUUUUACGCGGGAAACCGCUAAAGGAGAAAACAUG